UGGGAGUACUGAUUAUAGAGAACCAAUCCAUUCCAUCAGGAUCACAAAUCUUAGAAACAACAUAAAACCUUGGAACAAUGAAAAGAUUUCCAGCCUUCACAGUAGUUUCCAAGACUCUACGGCCAUCAACACCCACGACCUGAACGCGACCACUGCCUCUAACAAUGUAUGUAACUUGCAGAGCCGAGUCACAAGAAAAUCCAGGCGAGCACAUAGCACCACCGUCCAGCCUUACAAGAUCAGCACCA
rnacentral:lncRNA from 1 species